rnacentral:rRNA from 1 species
UGAUCCUGGCUCAGAUUGAACGCUGGCGGCAGGCCUAACACAUGCAAGUCGAGCGGUAGCACAGAGAGCUUGCUCUCGGGUGACGAGCGGCGGACGGGUGAGUAAUGUCUGGGAAACUGCCUGAUGGAGGGGGUAUAACUACUGGAAACGGUAGCUAAUACCGCAUAAUGUCGCAAGACCAAAGUGGGGGACCUUCGGGCCUCAUGCCUAUCAGAUGUGCCCAGAUGGGAUUAG